AGGGUUCGAUUCUGGCUCAGAACGAACGCUGGUGGCGUGUCUUAUACAUGCAAGUCGAGCGAGGCAGCAAUGCCGAGCGGCGAACGGGUGAGUAACGCGUAAGCAAUCUGCCCCCAUAGUCAGGAAAUACCCGUGCCCAACGCGCGGUUAAUGUCCAGGAGAGUGGCCCUCUGCAUGGAGGGUUGACUAGAGAUUUAUCGGUAUGGGAUGAGCUUGGCGUCCGAUUAGCUAGUUCGGCGGGGCAACGGCCCACCAAGGCGACGAUCGGUAGCCGGCCUGAGAGGGUGAUCGGCCACAUUGGGACUGAGAUACGGCCCAGACUCCUACGGGAGGCAGCAGUAGGGAAUAUUGCACAAUGGGGGAAACCCUGAUGCAGCAACGCCACGUGUGGGAAGAAGCAUUUCGGUGUGUAAACCACUGUCAUGAGGGAAUAAGGCCCGCCUUCGGACGGGAUUGAAUGUACCUUGAGAGGAAGCACCGGCAAACUUCGUGCCAGCCGCGGC
rnacentral:rRNA from 1 species